ensembl:lncRNA
GACAAUGGCUGUUUAGAUGUAGUGUUCCCGCAAGGAUAGAGACAGUUCCGGCUGCCUCUUUGGCCUCGCCGCGAGCGAUCCAACGGGAACAUGCAGGAACGCUGACCCGCCUGAGGGAGGGGUGCUGACAGUCAGAGGAGACGGACCAGGGAUCAUCAACCGAGGCUGCAAUUUGCAUGAAGUGACUGAGCAAGGCCAAUCGCUGAAAGAUAAGCACUUACCGUGGUGGUCACCAAAAUAUAGCAUGAGUCUGUCUCCUUCCCAGGUGUGGUGAGUUAGUGUUGAUGUCGGGGGCAUGGCCAUCCCGCUCCUUGGCUAAUCCGGAGCCGCUCUUCGCCCUAUAUAAUGUUUCAGUUUGGUUCGGUAAUGAGGGAGAGAGAUUUGUGCUCUUUGUUGUGCUCAAAUAAGUGCUAGAGGCAGAGAGUAUGUGCUUCAAGCAUAGCAUUUAUGAUUCAUUCCAUUGUGUAGUGAUUCAUUUGUGAUUCAUUUGUGCUUGAUACCUGCU